UGACGCUGGCGGCAGGCCUAACACAUGCAAGUCGGGGCCGGGUACACGUAAGCUUGCAUCUCUGGGUGACGAGCGGCGGACGGGUGAGUAAUGUCUGGGAAACUGCCUGAUGGAGGGGGAUAACUACUGGAAACGGUAGCUAAUACCGCAUAACGUCGCAAGACCAAAGAGGGGGACCUUCGGGCCUCUUGCCAUCAGAUGUGCCCAGAUGGGAUUAGCUAGUAGGUGGGGUAACGGCUCACCUAGGCGACGAUCCCUAGCUGGUCUGAGAGGAUGACCAGCCACACUGGAACUGAGACACGGUCCAGACUCCUACGGGAGGCAGCAGUGGGGAAUAUUGCACAAUGGGCGCAAGCCUGAUGCAGCCAUGCCGCGUGUAUGAAGAAGGCCUUCGGGUUGUAAAGUACUUUCAGCGAGGAGGAAGGCGUUAAGGUUAAUAACCUUGGUGAUUGACGUUACUCGCAGAAGAAGCACCGGCUAACUCCGUGCCAGCAGCCGCGGUAAUACGGAGGGUGCAAGCGUUAAUCGGAAUUACUGGGCGUAAAGCGCACGCAGGCGGUCUGUCAAGUCGGAUGUGAAAUCCCCGGGCUCAACCUGGGAACUGCAUUCGAAACUGGCAGGCUAGAGUCUUGUAGAGGGGGGUAGAAUUCCAGGUGUAGCGGUGAAAUGCGUAGAGAUCUGGAGGAAUACCGGUGGCGAAGGCGGCCCCCUGGACAAAGACUGACUCUCAUGUGCGAAAGCGUGGGGAGCAAACAGGAUUAGAUACCCUGGUAGUCCACGCCGUAAACGAUGUCGACUUGGAGGUUGUUCCCUUGAGGAGUGGCUUCCGGAGCUAACGCGUUAAAUCGACCGCCUGGGGAGUACCGCCGCAGGGUUAAAACUCAAAUGAAUUGACGGGGGCCCGCACAAGCGGUGGAGCAUGUGGUUAAUUCGAUGCACGCGAAAACCUUACCUACUCUUGACAUCCAGAGAACUUAACAAAGAUGCUUUGGUGCCUU
rnacentral:rRNA from 1 species